GCCAGGGUAGCUCAGUUGGUCAGAGCGGCGGACUCAUAAACCGCAGGUCAUGGGUUCAAAUCCCAUCCCUGGCA
rnacentral:tRNA from 1 species